rnacentral:antisense_RNA from 1 species
GAGCUCUGUGGGCCCCAGGUGCCCCAGGAAAACUUGGGGGAGAAUGGGCAUCCCACCCCAGCACUUUCUAGGAAGGAGGGCAGCAUUUUGAAGGGCUGGAAGUAGAGGAAGGAGGUUGCGGGUAGAAGACUCCAUACUUUCUGUGAUGCCUAUUCCUUAGGUAGGAACUUAGGAACCUCAGUCAGAGGCGUGGCUUGCCUGGGCCCCUGGGUGCAGCUGCACAGAUUCAAGCAGCCUGAAGGAAAGGUGACUGACAGCUAAUGAUCUGAAAAGAACUUGUCUCAACUCAACGUCAUUCCUGGCAUUAUCGAACAAAGCAAUAAACCUCACAGAAUGGAAGCUACAGUGUCCAGGGCCAGCUCUGCUAAGGUAACCAAAGACAGAGAAGGAGGCAAAAGUGACAGAAGAAGCUCAUGGGAAACCAACAGAAAUGUAAUGGCUUUGGCAGAAAUGCAAUUAUCAAUUGGGAGCUUGAGAUGAAUGUUUUCUCAGUAUCCUAUGCUGAAAACAGGUAGAUACUAAUAUCGAUCUUCAAGGGAGGGCUGUUGAGUUUUGAAUAAGACAAAAACAUGGAAGCAAUCAGCACCAUGCUGGAAUCAAGGCUAUCUGUAAUCACAGGGCUAUUUGAAAAAGAGAAGAAAAGGUGUCUUGAAAUUCAACCAACAUGUUUCAAUUAUUUGCUCCUAAGAACAACAGAAGUUUCAACAUUCUGCCAACAAAGUAACUCCUGGAAGAUUGGCACAGAAGAAGGCAC